rnacentral:rRNA from 1 species
AUACGUAGGGGGCGAGCGUUGUCCGGAAUGAUUGGGCGUAAAGGGCGCGUAGGCGGCCCGGUAAGUCUGGAGUGAAAGUCCUGUUUUUAAGAUGGGAAUUGCUUUGGAUACUGUCGGGCUUGAGUGCAGGAGAGGUAAGUGGAAUUCCCAGUGUAGCGGUGAAAUGCGUAGAGAUUGGGAGGAACACCAGUGGCGAAGGCGACUUACUGGACUGUAACUGACGCUGAGGCGCGAAAGUGUGGGGAGCAAACAGGAUUAGAUACCCUGGUAGUCCACACUGUAAACGAUGAAUGCUAGGUGUAGGGGUAUCGACCCCUUCUGUGCCGCAGUCAACACAAUAAGCAUUCCGCCUGGGGAGUACGGCCGCAAGGUUGAAACUCAAAUGAAUUGACGGGG